ACGCUGGCGGCAGGCCUAACACAUGCAAGUCGAGCGGUAGAGAGAAGCUUGCUUCUCUUGAGAGCGGCGGACGGGUGAGUAAUGCCUAGGAAUCUGCCUGGUAGUGGGGGAUAACGUUCGGAAACGGACGCUAAUACCGCAUACGUCCUACGGGAGAAAGCAGGGGACCUUCGGGCCUUGCGCUAUCAGAUGAGCCUAGGUCGGAUUAGCUAGUUGGUGAGGUAAUGGCUCACCAAGGCGACGAUCCGUAACUGGUCUGAGAGGAUGAUCAGUCACACUGGAACUGAGACACGGUCCAGACACCUACGGGAGGCAGCAGUGGGGAAUAUUGGACAAUGGGCGAAAGCCUGAUCCAGCCAUGCCGCGUGUGUGAAGAAGGUCUUCGGAUUGUAAAGCACUUUAAGUUGGGAGGAAGGGCAUUAACCUAAUACGUUAGUGUUUUGACGUUACCGACAGAAUAAGCACCGGCUAACUCUGUGCCAGCAGCCGCGGUAAUACAGAGGGUGCAAGCGUUAAUCGGAAUUACUGGGCGUAAAGCGCGCGUAGGUGGUUUGUUAAGUUGGAUGUGAAAUCCCCGGGCUCAACCUGGGAACUGCAUUCAAAACUGACUGACUAGAGUAUGGUAGAGGGUGGUGGAAUUUCCUGUGUAGCGGUGAAAUGCGUAGAUAUAGGAAGGAACACCAGUGGCGAAGGCGACCACCUGGACUAAUACUGACACUGAGGUGCGAAAGCGUGGGGAGCAAAC
rnacentral:rRNA from 1 species